CCCGGUGCAAUGCAUACUCAAUUGACAUUGUUAAACUCAAUCACCGUACAGCACAUAUAAAAAAAAUUACAAGUAAAAUUAAAAGUUCAUUUCCAAUACACAGGGGAAACCAAAAUGAACCCCAUUUCAAGCUCUAAUUUUACAGUAGCGUUUCUAUUAGGAAGUAACACCUGUGUUGCUUUCAUAUUUGUACAAUGAUUUGUGCUAAGCAUAGUUGAUUAAUACAAUAAUUGGCGACAGUAGAAUCUGCAACAAGUUAAUACCAAUUUCAGCCCCAAGAUAGCAAGAACAAUUCAAAUUUCCAAUUUCAGAUUUUUGCUUCUUUUUUUCAUUUACCAGCAGACACGGAAGGAAAAAUGAAAAACCCCCACAGGAUUUUUAUUUCUGUUGACAUCAUUUGAAAGAAAUUUAUGGACCCGUUAAUAAUCUUCCCAUGCUCUGAGGAUAUGGGUAAGAAGAAUGGCUUAAAGGUGGAAUUUCAACACUACGGCCUUCAUGAGGAUUUUGCCUAGAUCCAUACUGAUUCAUGCCACCAUUUAGAACACCAUACGAAGUUGUAAUUGAGGUUCUUGGAACUAUUCUGAAACUGGAACCACUUGUUUGGGUUUGGCUUUUCGUGAGCUCAGAAUGUAGUGCUUGUUGCUGGUCAUUAGAUCUAUUUUCAGCAGUUGAACUGAUCCCAACCCCAAGAUCAAGGCUAAUCGUCUCACUUUCAUCUGAUCUAAUCCUUGAUGGUCCAUUCACGGCUGUUGGUCCCACUGUGUCGUGACUACUGUUCCUUGCUGUAGGUACAUCAUGAUUGUGUUUCCCCUCAUAAGUGGUUAUGACUGCUUUGGGAUCAUGAGAUGCCCUCUCCACAUGUUUCCUAACUGGGCAUCCAGCAUUUGUGCAUUUGUAGUAACUCCUAGGAUUGGGAUUGCCUCUGACUACUUUCUGUCCAUAUUUGCGCCACCGGUACCCAUCAUCCAGUAUAUCAACCUC
rnacentral:misc_RNA from 1 species